CAGUUCUCAUUGUGAUUGGCUACCAGGGAAUGGAGGACGCUCUGCACGUUUCUGCGGCCCGGUUGGACCGACUAGGAUCCUUAGCGGCCCCGCUCAGCUAGUUGCCCGCUGCCGGAUCCACUGUGUCCGGAAGCUACGUCCCGCUGCAGCCCCGCACACGCGAACGAUGCCGGAGAGCUGCGGCGGGAUGUUCUGGGGACCGCGGCGGGUUGGACGGGACACUGCGUUCCCAGGGCGCGGGGCCUGCCAGUCUCUCCUCUGAGAUGUGUCAGAGAAAGACAGCGGGGGAAGCCUACCUGUGAGCAGGGCUGGGCUGCCACACGGAACAGCAGACUGUCUUCGUUGGAGCCGGCAGUUUGAGCCGCUGCCCUCUUUCAUUUCUGCAGUAGUUCUCUUGUCACUGCUGAGUGCCUACGAGCUGGUCACCCAGGAUGCUGAAUCCCUUGCUGAAAAGGGAUUAGUGGCAGGUGUUCCCUGACUUGCUCUCUGGGAGUCAAGUGUUGGAGGUGGGGCUGCAGCCUCAGGUGGUGGGUCCACAAUUCUGCAAAGCAGGUCCCCUUUGAUAGUCAAUGCACAUCGCCCCCGGAAGAACAAGCAGACAAGAUGACAGACGAGUAGCAGUGAGCUGACCAUGAGGGAAGAAAACCAGGCCAGCCUAACAGGAGGCAAAGGGAUCUGGGGCCACAAAGUAAAGAGUUAAAGCUCCAGGUAUUGAGGAUCGGCAGCGGGGGUGAAAGCAAGUAUGGGUCCCACAGGGAAGAACUGUGGCGUUCAAUAGGCUUUCCCAGUGUCACUAGUGGCCCCCUUAAAUUUUUACAAGGGUUAGGGUCAUGCAGUUGUCCUGGGAUGGCAGGGAAACCUGAGCUGCUCUGUUUCAGUUUGUGGAUCUGGUGCCUUACUGAAAUGCUAUGUGGGUAACAAAUUCUGGAAAAGAUACUUCAUUGGGAUUUAGAUGUAGUACAAGCUCUGACAGUUUUCAGAUGUGACCUCUGCCAGCUGGGUUGUGGGACAGAUGUUUUCCUUACUAAUUUCUCUGAUACCUGGAAGUUGCCCAUGGCAUAACAUUCUGGUUGCAAAUAAAGAAGAGUGAAGAAGGGCCGUGUUCUGGAGCGGGGUGAGUGUGAUGCAGUGCUGCCAGGCUUCUGCCCAGCUGCUCAAGGCAUCUGGCAUGUGCUUGUUCUCCCUGUCACAGAUGUGCUGCUUGGACAUGUCAUAGUCUUCCUUAACCUCCUUAGCAAGCAGCCUUCUGGGAAGCAGGCCUUUUCACUGACCCCAGGUGUGGGACAUUUAGUGGCACCUGUUGCUACCCUUAUGUUGGGGGUAAGCUUAUGGCUUAGGAAAGUCUGUGAAGUGCCUGCCCUGGAACAGCUGCAAUAGGUGAACCUCCUUGUAAGGAGGUGGAAUUUGGGUUGUGACCUAGGAGGUUCUGGGAAGCUCUAGUAGCAUCUCUAGAGGUGAAAAUAGGGCACUGCUGUUUCCCUUCUCCUGACCCUCCUGUAGGAACUGUAUAUUUGCUCAAAUCCAGUACAAUAUUUUUUAUUUGUUUUCCCCAUCCAAUAUUGCAGCGGGCAGGGGGGUUCUGUAGUGUCAUGUAGUACGCAUCGUCAUUACUAAACCAUGUCUAGCCCAAUCCUCUGAAGAGCUCAGUAGGAUUUUCUUUUGUUAUGACUUAUGAGGGGCCUAUGCAUCCCAGCCAAUGCCUUUGUACCUGGGUGGUGGUCAGACGGUGGCUCAGCAUGACUCCUUUGUAUCCCCUUCUCAAAGAUUUUCUACCAAGAGUCCCCUGCAUCCCUGAGUACCCAGCAUACUGCAUUGUUCCUCACCAGCAUUGCCCCCACCAAGAAGAAUGUGAUAAACUGUACCAUCAUGCCUGAUGGCACUUCUGUGACCACUGUCACCACCAUUCAGACCAGGCCCAAAGUGGACU